CAGCUCAGAAUGUAGUUUCCUGUGAUGUCAGGUUCCCGGUUCUAAAAAGACAGACAAAGUUCUUCAGGAAAAGAGGUAUCCAGUCAUCCUACAGCCUUCUAGCCUGGAUGGACCAAACUUCUGUUUAAAUUUGCAGAUCACCUGAAAAUUAAGCGCAAAGAAACUGAGGCUUGGAUGUGGUGGUGUAGUUUAAGAAAGGAUUUGAAGGAGGCAGCGGAAGGUAAAAUGGAAGGAAAAGUUUCCUGUUUCCUGGCUACAGGAACUAAGUAAUCCUUAAAGGCAGGCAUGACUUGCAAUUCCCUGCUAAAAACAAAGCUGAUUUACACUGAUGCAUGACAGAUCCUACAACAUGACUGUGAAAUGGUCCAGUUUCUCCAAAACUACAGAUGAUGGAAGUUUAUCUGAGGAUAAAAGGGGAGGGAUUCUCGGCACAAGGUCAGUUUAGGAGAGAUGUUCGGAGCAAGAGCAGCUGUCUGCACUUUCAAACCUCUAAUCUAAGAGGACAACGUCACUGCAGUGCCUCCCUAAAAGACAGGUUAGACUGCACUGCUAUUGCGCUAACCACCAUUUAAGAUGUUUUCUGUUUCACUGGCUUUUGUUUUCUCCCCUAUUCAGAUGUAAAAUAAAA